AUGGAAUCCUCACCUAGGUUUCUUUUGCUUGCUUGGAAUGAUGUUUCACUUCUUACAGUUUCGUCAUGGCACUGAUGGGUUUUAACCUUAAUAUAGAUUGCUUGUUUGCAGAUUCCACCUUGGUUUUUUUGUUCCUCUGGUGUGGAAGUUUCUGCUUUCAGCAAAAAUCUGCCAUUCCUGUUCUUAGUAGGAAGAACUGUAAAAAGAAAAGUGGGGGAAAAAUGAAUGUCUUCUUAGUCAUCUGCAAAUAAUUUUGAAUCUUUGGUUACUUUGCUUGUGAAAUGAACUUAGUCUUCUUC